UUGCUACUCCCUCCGUCCGAAAAUACUUGUCAUCAAAAUGGAUAAAAAGAGAUGUAUCUAAAACUAAAAUACGUCUAGAUACAUUUCCUUUUAUCCAUUUUGAUGACAAGUAUUUCCGGACGGAGGGAGUAUUUG
rfam:Triticum aestivum genome assembly, contig: Triticum_aestivum_CS42_TGACv1_scaffold_410482_5BL